rnacentral:rRNA from 1 species
CCUACGGGUGGCUGCAGUGGGGAAUAUUGGACAAUGGGGGCAACCCUGAUCCAGCCAUGCCGCGUGUGUGAAGAAGGCCCUCGGGUUGUAAAGCACUUUCAGUGAGGAAGAACGCCUGGUGGUUAAUACCCAUCAGGAAAGACAUCACUCACAGAAGAAGCACCGGCUAACUCCGUGCCAGCAGUCGCGGUAAUACGGAGGGUGCGAGCGUUAAUCGGAAUUACUGGGCGUAAAGCGCGCGUAGGUGGCUUGAUAAGCCGGUUGUGAAAGCCCCGGGCUCAACCUGGGAACGGCAUCCGGAACUGUCAAGCUAGAGUGCAGGAGAGGAAGGUAGAAUUCCCGGUGUAGCGGUGAAAUGCGUAGAGAUCGGGAGGAAUACCAGUGGCGAAGGCGGCCUUCUGGACUGACACUGACACUGAGGUGCGAAAGCGUGGGUAGCAAACAGGAUUAGAUACCCUAGUAGUC